rnacentral:rRNA from 1 species
UGCGUAGGCGGGACUUUAAGUCAGUGGUGAAAGUUUGCGGCUCAACCGUAAAAUUGCCAUUGAAACUGAAGUUCUUGAUUGCAGUAGAGGUAGGCGGAAUGUGUAGUGUAGCGGUGAAAUGCUUAGAUAUUACACAGAACACCAAUUGCGAAGGCAGCUUACUGGAGUGUAAAUGACGCUGAGGCACGAAAGCGUGGGUAUCAAACAGGAUUAGAUACCCCCGUA